rnacentral:rRNA from 1 species
AUGGACGCCGAUGAGGCUGCGGGAAGUAGCAGGAGGAUGGAUCUGAACCUGUACCUCGGCCUCCCCCGCGCCCCGCGGUCUCGCCGCUCCGACCUCGGCUCCGACCUCGCGCUCAGCACCCCGAUGCCCUCCUCGCCCUCCUCCUCUGCCGCCUCCGUCGACGCCCCUCCGCCUCCCGAGCCCCCGCAUGCCCCCUACUCCCCGUCUCGCGCCGGCCUUUCUCCUCCGCCACCAGAGGUGUACUCCUCGUACCAUCCCGAGGACGCGCACCUGCCGUACGCGCCAGCGCCGGUCAUCGAUGAGCUCCCGGACGACAUCGGCUUCGGCUUCCACCCCCCGCCUUCGCUGGUGCGAGCCAGCGCCUUUCUUUGGGAGGAUCGCCCGUCUUCAUCGACGGCCUCCUCCUCCUUCCUCCCUGACGCUGCAACAAGGUACAGGCGGCUGCUUGAGCAGACAGGAAGCCGGUGGCUCCGCUCUAGGCCCACUGGGCGGUUUAGAUCGGACCUUCCACCGCUCAGCUCCGAGGUUCAACCUCUAGGGCAUGAUGCAGCAGUGCCGGUGCCACAUCAUGAGGUGGCAAUUGAUAUCGUUGGAGAUGAUAAGGUAACCGGCAAUGGAGUAGAAGUAGGUGCCUCAGAGGAGUCGGAGGAGCGGGGCAAGAGCGUCGCCACAUUUGAGUGCAACAUAUGCUUUGAUAUGGCCGGAGAGCCGGUGGUCACUUCUUGUGGCCAUCUCUUCUGCUGGCCUUGCUUAUACCAAUGGCUUAAUGUCUACUCCAACCACAAGGAAUGCCCAGUCUGCAAGGGCGAGGUGACGGAGGCUAAUAUCACUCCUAUCUAUGGCAGAGGGAAUUCUUGUUCAGAUGCAGAGAAGGCUGCGGAUGAAGGCAAGCAGCCAGGUCUUACAAUCCCACCAAGGCCACAUGGAAAUCGUCUUGAAAGUUUCCGGCAGCAGUUUCAGCACUUACGCCCAAUGUCAAGAAGGCUUGGUGACGCACAUGGGAUACUGUCAUCAUGGAGGCGCCUUCUUGAUCAACAGAUCAUGAGUAGUGUGAGUAGAUUCGAAGGCCCGUCUGAACCUGCUGUGCAUGAAACAGGUGACGUUGCUCCACACACUGGCCGCCUAAGUAGAUUGACCACAAGGAUGAGAGCAAGACGGUUGCUGAGCGAGGUAGAUAACUCUCCUGAUGGUGCUUUUGCUGCCCCUGAUAGUGGUCUGCCUGGAAAUAGUGCGCCAGAUGCACCUAGAGAUGGUUCAAGCCCGGUUUUACCAGAAGGAUUUGAUUUGUUGCAACGGCUUACUCUUAUUGGCAUUGCAAAUACAGAAAGAUUGGCAACUGCCAUGAGUGACCUUAGAAGGAUAGCUACACCUGGCCAACACGGAGCAUCUGCUUCAUACCUUAGAAGGUUAGCUACACCUGGCCAAUACGGAGCAUCUGCUUCAUCGCCGAACCCUUUGAAUCCCGAGGCAACAGUUGACGGAACCCAUGUUGGUGCAGCACCUUCUACAGACCAAGCAUCAAACUCGAGCACCAUUGCAGUGAUACAGGGGGAUGCAGGUGUUUCUGAGACGGCGGGAGAGCCUAGUAACGCAGGUUCUUCGAGAACCCUGAGGAGGGGGAGGAGCAGCGCGUUGGCUUCUUUAGAUGUGGAUGGUGCCCCCCCACAGCGCAACAAGAGGCGGAGGAUGUAG